GUGGUUGAGAGUCCGCCUGCCGAUGCAGGGGACGCGGGUUCGUGCCCCGGUCCGGGAAGAUCCCACAUGCCGCAGAGCGGCUGGGCCCGUGAGCCAUGGCCACUGAGCCUGCGCGUCCGGAGCCUGUGCUCCGCAACGGGAGAGGCCACAAGUGAGAG